rnacentral:misc_RNA from 1 species
CUUUCGUCCACCACGUCGUCAUGGAGCAGCGUCGCGGUGUGCAUGAAUUCCACGGCGGCGGCGAGCUUGAUAUGUCCUUCGCCGGUGUAGCCGGUGAGGUUGGCCAUCGCCAGCGUCAGCAUCGGCCGCAGGCGCUUGCCGCCCGACGAAAUCAGGUGGUUGGCGACCUCCGGGAUCAUCGUGACUUCCGAGCCGGUUCGCGACAGAAUCG